UUAACCGAAUAGGGGAGCCGGAGGGAAACCGAGUCUUAACCGGGCGUUAAGUUGCAGGGUAUAGACCCGAAACCCGGUGAUCUAGCCAUGGGCAGGUUGAAGGUUGGGUAACACUAACUGGAGGACCGAACCGACUAAUGUUGAAAAAUUAGCGGAUGACCUGUGGCUGGGGGUGAAAGGCCAAUCAAACCGGGAGAUAGCUGGUUCUCCCCGAAAGCUAUUUAGGUAGCGCCUCGUGAAUUCAUCUCCGGGGGUAGAGCACUGUUUCGGCUAGGGGGCCAUCCCGGCUUACCAACCCGAUGCAAACUGCGAAUACCGGAGAAUGUUAUCACGGGAGACACACGGCGGGUGCUAACGUCCGUCGUGAAGAGGGAAACAACCCAGACCGCCAGCUAAGGUCCCAAAGUCAUGGUUAAGUGGGAAACGAUGUGGGAAGGCCCAGACAGCCAGGAUGUUGGCUUAGAAGCAGCCAUCAUUUAAAGAAAGCGUAAUAGCUCACUGGUCGAGUCGGCCUGCGCGGAAGAUGUAACGGGGCUAAACCAUG
rnacentral:rRNA from 1 species